rnacentral:rRNA from 1 species
UACGUAGGGAGCAAGCGUUGUCCGGAAUCAUUGGGCGUAAAGCGCGCGUAGGUGGCCUCAUAAGUCCGCUGUGAAAGUCAAAGGCUCAACCUUUGAAAGCCGGUGGAUACUGUGAGGCUAGAGUACGGAAGAGGCGAGUGGAAUUCCUGGUGUAGCGGUGGAAUGCGCAGAUAUCAGGAGGAACACCGGUGGCGAAGGCGGAUCUCUGGGCCUGUCCUGACGCUCAGGCGCGAAAGCUAGGGGAGCAAACAGG